UGCCAGCCGCCGCGGUAAUACGAAGGUGGCUAGCGUUAUUCGGAAUCACUGGGCAUAAAGGGCGUGUAGGCUGUUCGGUAAGUAGAAAGUGAAAUCCCUGGGCUUACCCCAGGAACUGCUUUCUAAACUACCGGGCUAGAGAACUGGAGGGGUACACGGAAUUCUCGGUGGAGCGGUGGAAUGCGUAGAUAUCGAGAAGAACGCCAAAGGCGAAAGCAGUGUGCUGGACAGUUUCUGACGCUGAUGCGCGAAAGCUAGGGUAGCGAAGGGGAUUAGAUA
rnacentral:rRNA from 1 species